UACAGAGGUCCCGAGCGUUGUUCGGAUUCACUGGGCGUAAAGGGUGCGCAGGUGGGUUUGCAAGUUCGAUGUGAAAGCCCCGGGCUUAACCCGGGAAUGGCAUUGGAUACUGCAGAUCUGGAGGAUCGGAGGGGGGGACUGGAAUUCUUGGUGUAGCAGUGAAAAUGCGUAGAUAUCAAGAGGAACACCAGUGGCGAAGGCGAGUCCCUGGACGAUACCUGACACUGAGGCACGAAAGCCCGGGGGAGCAAACAGG
rnacentral:rRNA from 1 species